UCUUCCCACCCUGAUAACUCAGAGUGAAGCCUCUGGCUUGCUGUCCUCACCCUGAUAAGGGGGAAAGGCGAAAAGAUCAGGGUGGGACCACCAGACCAGAUGUUUUAACCCUAGGGUAAACGAUGUCACUAAGAGACCUGUUGGCAGCUGAUAAGGGUUGAAGGUGGGGGGUGGGUGUCAAAAAGCCCCCAAAUUUGGUAUAAAUAGUGGAGCAAAUGAACGGACAUUCAGCCAGCCAAUACUGAUAUCCUCAUGCUGAGAGCCUGAUGAGGACCUGGACUGACAUUGCAACACUUUUCCUCUUUUUGCCUGCUUUCUGCAUUUUCCUCACCGCUCUCAAACUCUACACACGUCUUGACCCUUCUGAAGCCGCAACUUCUCUCUACGACCCUCUCCUCAACUGGCGGUCAGUUCCACCCCUGGAGAAGCCUGCCUUGGCUCCGGACCUGAUCACCGCAGUCUGAUUUUCUUCAGAACCUUUAAAUGAACAACAUAAGAAACCAAACAGAAAGAUACAUUUCUUGGAUCUAGAAAAUGAGGAGGAAGAUGGAGAACAGAAAGGAUUAUAAUUCAAGAUGAAGCAUUCCAUAAGAAAGCACAAAUGAGUCCAGACAGCCACAGGUGGGCCAGAGAAAGAUUCAUGGAAGAGGUGCAUUGAAGGUAAAUACUGAAUGAUGAGAAGAUUUCUGUAGCUUAUGUCGGGCUCUCAAAGGGCUUUACAGAGGGAGAUUAAUAAAAUUAGCCAAACCAAUAAUCCCUGCAGAGGAUUAAGUGUGUUCAAGGUCCUGAGAAUAGCUCAGCUUGCUAUGUAUAGGACAGUAGCAGAGAAACACAAAUGGAAAGGCCAUUUUGUUGAGGAUCUUGAAAGUCAAGGCCAAUGUUCGGAUUGUAUCUGGUAAGCAAGCAGGGUAGGGGAAUGGAGGAAUUCCUGAAUUAGAAAUCAGGAACCAUAAAUCUGAGCAUCAGCUCUGCUCAUUCUCAUGAAGCUUUGAGGAAUGCCCUUAAUCUCUCUGAGCCUUCAUUUGCAACCUAUAAAAUGAGGUUAAUCUCUACGUUACACGCUAUUUUGUGAUUAAGUGAAAUAAAAUGCAAUAUAUGAAAGACCUGGGACAAUAUCAGACACAUAACAUGAAAUCACUAAAGUUUUCUGACUGAAGAUAUUGGAUCAUCCAAAUUCUGGUAACUUAUAAAUCCAAAAGGAAGAGAAUGAGCAGCAGUGAGUGAGAAGAAAUGAGACAUUUUAGGGAAUGGAAAAGAGUAAUUGGAAGGGAGAGAUAACUGAAUUUCUUGGACAGGGUGGGAUGAGAGAGGGAGGUUUCCAGGAGGACAUAUUUUAAGCAGAGAACGGUAUCAUUAGCAGCAUUGUGGAGACUGGACCAGAGAGAAAUCUGAUGAGGAUUUUUGUUUUGUUUUGUUUUGUUUUAAUCUGGUUGAACUGAAGUGG